UCCCUGAGACCCUAACUUGUGAGGAUGUAAUGCAAACGCUCACUGGUUAGGAUCUUGGGAUUC
rnacentral:pre_miRNA from 1 species